UUCCAAUCGUUUGAAAACAUCUUCAAAAGAGCGAUCGUCGUGGUAAUCUUUGUUAACGUUUUCCCCCAUCAAUUUCAGUGGUUUUUAUUCCAUUUUUUUUCUCUUUUUCUUUCGUUUUCUCUCUUUUUCACCCUCUUCUUCUUCGCGAUUCCUCUGCUUUACGUUGAGAUAAAUAGAAUAUAGUUUGUUUACAAGAUCCGGGGAAUUGGUUUCGAUCGUGAUCUGGGGUUUGCUCUUUCCGGAGGUUUAAAGGUCUUCAAUAGAUUCCGGUAGCCGCCUUUAAGAAAGCUAAGUAGGACUUCUUUGAAUUCACUGGUAUCAUAAAAGGACAUGUUGGGUUCAAAGAGGUAGUUGAUCCAGGUGAUAUUAAACAGGCAAUAGAUCAUGCUUGCUUGAAUGAAUUUGAUGGUGGCGAUACGAGUGAUGUGGACGAUUUACUUGACCAAGGACAUCAAAGCAAACCUCCAGUAAACUGUUUAGGCAAGUCUGCAUCAUUUCCUUCUUGUUUCUCGCCUCCCGAAGAUGAUGAUGAUGAUAUUGAAACUUCGUUGAGGUGGAUAUUCUGCGAGGACUCGGUUCAAUCCCUGCUCUCGUUCAAUUUCUUUGCCGACUCCAUUAAAGCUAGUGUCUGCCCUUAAAGGCAGCCGUGGAAAAAGGUUUACCGACAAAGGAGCUGAGAGUGACAUGGGCCUGAUGUGUACGAUCCUCUGCCGACAUCCGUAUUGCACACGGUCAGAGCCAAAAAGCAGAAGUCGAAGAAGAUCUAUGACAAGAAGAAACAUGGAAAGAAAUCGAAGAAGAGCAACAACUCCUCACGUGGAGGUAAUGGAGGCAGUAAAAGCAA